rnacentral:rRNA from 1 species
GUGCACCAGGCGAGAAACCUCCGCAAUACACGAAAGUGUGACGGGCCAUCCCGAGUGCCGUCCGCUGAGGACGGCUUUUCCCAGUGUACACAGCUGGGGGAAUAAGGAGAGGGCAAGCCUGGUGUCAGCCGCCGCGGUAAUACCAGCUCUCCGGGUGGUGGGGACGCUUAUUGGGCCUAAAGCAUCCGUAGCCGGCUGGGCAAGUCCUCCGUUAAAUCCAACGAUUCAAUCGUUGGGCUGCGGGGAUACUGUCCAGCUUGGGGGCGGGAGAGGCCGACGGUAUUCCCGGGGUGGGGGUGGAAAUCCUAUAAAUCCCGGGAGGACCACCAGUGGCGAAGGCUGUCGGCUAGAACGCGCCCGACGGUGAGGGAUGAAAGCUGGGGAGCGAACCGGAUUAGAUACCCCUGUAGU